AAUGCUAUUUAUUGAAUUUAAUUUAAAUCGGUAAUGAUGUUCUUUUCCAGGUCUCGGAUGCAGCUUUAAUCCGUCCACUGACGAACACAUGAAUCCUCCUCAGCUCAUUAUAUAAUCAACAGUUGCUCCCUCCCUCCUCUUCAUCCUCCUCCUCUUCCUCGGUGACCGGAGGACUUCCACCGGAGCUCUCAGACAUUUUCCUUCAGCUCCACCGGAUUACCGGAGCGUCUCCUCCUGCCGUCCGUCCGUCUCCGUCCUCCUCCGGCCGCUUUGUGCCGGAAGGACCGAGCCCCUCGUCGGUCUCCGUUUGACGCAAAAUAGAAGGAGGAGGUGCGGCAGAACUACCUGUUAGCGGAGAUAUGCGGCGCCGCUGCGCACCUGCUGACCCACUUUGUGCAAGUUGGGAGUAAAAGCGGCAGAAAUCGUGCGGAUGAAGCGUGAUGCGGACGCAGCGGUGACCCCGCGGGGAGAGCUCCAGUGAGACGCCGCGGAGAGCAGCGGAGAGGCGGCCGGGAGAGGAGCGGGAGGCGGGGAAGAACCGGAGGGGGAGCGGACACCGAGGAGGUGAUGACCGCGUCUCCUCACCUGGAGCCCGGGCUGCUGCUGCUGCUGCUGGCCUGCUGCCUCUCACCGAGGACCGGAGCGACGGUGCCAGCAGCCCCGGUCAACGUGUCGGUGACCCAGCUGAGGGCACAUUCAGCCAUGGUGACCUGGAACGUCCCUCAGGGAGACACCGUCAUCGGAUACGCCAUCUCCCAGCAGAGGCAGGACGGCCUGAUGCAGCGCUCCAUCCGCGAGGUGAACACGUCCAGCCGCUGGUGUGUGCUGUGGGACCUGGACGAGGACACACACUACAGCGUCCAGGUAAAACACACUACAGCGUCCAGGUAAAACACACUACAGCGUCCAGGUAAAACACACUACAGCGUCCAGGUAAAACACACUACAGCGUCCAGGUAAAACACACUACAACGUCCAGAUAAAACACACUACAACGUCCAGGUAAAACACACUACAGCGUCCAGAUAAAACACACUACAGCGUCCAGGUAAAACACACUACAACGUCCAGGUAAAACACACUACAGCGUCCAGAUAAAACACACUACAACGUCCAGGUAAAACACACUACAGCGUCCAGGUAAAACACACUACAGCGUCCAGGUAAAACACACUACAGCGUCCAGGUAAAACACACGACAGCGUUCAGGUAAAACACACUACAGCGUCCAGGUAAAACACACUACAGCGUCCUGGUAAAACACACUACAGCGUCCAGGUAAAACACACUACAGCGUCCUGGUAAAACACACUACAGCGUCCAGGUAAAACACACUACAGCGUCCAGGUAAAACACACUACAGCGUCCAUGUAAAACACACUACAGCGUCCAGGUAAAACACACUACAGCGUCCAGGUAAAACACACUACAACGUCCAGGUAAAACACACUACAACGUCCAGGUAAAACACACUACAGCGUCCAGGUAAAACACACUACAGCGUCCAGGUAAAACGCACUACAACGUCCAGGUAAAACACACUACAGCGUCCAUGUAAAACGCACUACAGCGUCCAGGUAAAACACACUACAGCGUCCAUGUAAAACACACUACAACGUCCAUGUAAAACACACUACAACGUCCAGGUAAAACACACUACAGCGUCCAGGUAAAACGCACUACAACGUCCAGGUAAAACACACUACAGCGUCCAGGUAAAACGCACUACAACGUCCAUGUAAAACACACUACAGCGUCCAGGUAAAACACACUACAGCGUCCAGGUAAAACACACUACAGCGUCCAGGUAAAACACACUACAGCGUCCAGAUAAAACACACUACAGCGUCCAGGUAAAACACACUACAACGUCCUGGUAAAACACACUACAACGUCCAGGUAAAACACACGACAGCGUUCAGGUAAAACACACUACAGCGUCCAGGUAAAACGCACUACAGCGUCCAGGUAAAACGCACUACAACGUCCAUGUAAAACACACUACAGCGUCCAGGUAAAACACACUACAGCGUUCAGGUAAAACACACUACAGCGUCCAGGUAAAACGCACUACAACGUCCAUGUAAAACACACUACAGCGUCCAGGUAAAACACACUACAGCGUCCAGGUAAAACACACUACAGCGUCCAGGUAAAACACACUACAGCGUCCAGAUAAAACACACUACAGCGUCCAGGUAAAACACACUACAACGUCCUGGUAAAACACACUACAACGUCCAGGUAAAACACACGACAGCGUUCAGGUAAAACACACUACAGCGUCCAGGUAAAACGCACUACAGCGUUCAGGUAAAACACACUACAGCGUCCAGGUAAAACACACUACAGCGUCCAGGUAAAACACACUACAGCGUCCAGGUAAAACACACUACAGCGUCCAGGUAAAACACACUACAGCGUCCAGGUAAAACACACUACAACGUCCAGGUAAAACACACUACAGCGUCCAGGUAAAACACACUACAACGUCCAGGUAAAACACACUACAGCGUCCAGGUAAAACGCACUACAACGUCCAGGUAAAACACACUAAAGCGUCCAGGUAAAACGCACUACAACGUCCAGGUAAAACGCACUACAGCGUCCAUGUAAAACACACUACAGCGUCCAUGUAAAACACACUACAGCGUCCAGGUAAAACGCACUACAACGUCCAGGUAAAACACACUACAGCGUCCAUGUAAAACACACUACAGCGUCCAGGUAAAACACACUACAGCGUCCAGGUAAAACACACUACAGCGUCCAGGUAAAACACACUACAGCGUCCAGGUAAAACACACUACAGCGUCCAGGUAAAACACACUACAACGUCCAGGUAAAACACACUACAGCGUUCAGGUAAAACACACUACAACGUCCAUGUAAAACACACUACAACGUCCAGGUAAAACACACUACAGCGUCCAGGUAAAACACACUACAACGUCCAUGUAAAACACACUACAACGUCCAUGUAAAACGCACUACAACGUUCAGGUAAAACGCACUACAACGUCCAUGUAAAACACACUACAGCGUCCAGGUAAAACACACUACAGUGUCCAUUUAAAACACACUACAGCGUCCAGGUAAAACACACUACAGCGUUCAGGUAAAACGCACUACAGCGUCCAGGUAAAACACACUACAGCGUUCAGGUAAAACACACUACAGCGUUCAGGUAAAACACACUACAACGUCCAGGUAAAACACACUAAAGCGUCCAUGUAAAACACACUACAACGUCCAUGUAAAACACACUACAACGUCCAUGUAAAACACACUACAGCGUCCAGGUAAAACACACUACAGCGUCCAUGUAAAACACACUACAGCGUUCAGGUAAAACACACUACAGCGUCCAGGUAAAACACACUACAACGUCCAUGUAAAACACACUACAACGUCCAUGUAAAACACACUACAGCGUCCAGGUAAAACACACUACAGCGUCCAUGUAAAACACACUACAGCGUUCAGGUAAAACACACUACAACGUCCAUGUAAAACACACUACAGCGUUCAGGUAAAACACACUACAGCGUUCAGGUAAAACACACUACAACGUCCAGGUAAAACACACUACAGCGUCCAGGUAAAACACACUACAGCGUCCAGGUAAAACACACUACAGCGUCCAUGUAAAACACACUACAGCGUCCAGGUAAAACACACUACAGCGUCCAGGUAAAACACACUACAGCGUCCAGGUAAAACACACUACAGCGUCCAGGUAAAACACACUACAACGUCCAGGUAAAACACACUACAGCGUUCAGGUAAAACACACUACAACGUCCAUGUAAAACACACUACAACGUCCAGGUAAAACACACUACAGCGUCCAGGUAAAACACACUACAACGUCCAUGUAAAACACACUACAACGUCCAUGUAAAACGCACUACAACGUUCAGGUAAAACGCACUACAACGUCCAUGUAAAACACACUACAGCGUCCAGGUAAAACACACUACAGUGUCCAUUUAAAACACACUACAGCGUCCAGGUAAAACACACUACAGCGUUCAGGUAAAACACACUACAACGUCCAGGUAAAACACACUACAACGUCCAGGUAAAACACACUACAGCGUUCAGGUAAAACACACUACAACGUCCAGGUAAAACACACUAAAGCGUCCAUGUAAAACACACUACAACGUCCAUGUAAAACACACUACAACGUCCAUGUAAAACACACUACAGCGUCCAGGUAAAACACACUACAGCGUCCAUGUAAAACACACUACAGCGUUCAGGUAAAACACACUACAGCGUCCAGGUAAAACACACUACAACGUCCAUGUAAAACACACUACAACGUCCAUGUAAAACACACUACAGCGUCCAGGUAAAACACACUACAGCGUCCAUGUAAAACACACUACAGCGUUCAGGUAAAACACACUACAACGUCCAUGUAAAACACACUACAGCGUUCAGGUAAAACACACUACAGCGUUCAGGUAAAACACACUACAACGUCCAGGUAAAACACACUACAGCGUCCAGGUAAAACACACUACAGCGUCCAGGUAAAACACACUACAGCGUCCAGGUAAAACACACUACAGCGUUCAGGUAAAACGCACUACAGCGUCCAGGUAAAACACACUACAGCGUUCAGGUAAAACACACUACAGCGUUCAGGUAAAACACACUACAACGUCCAGGUAAAACACACUAAAGCGUCCAUGUAAAACACACUACAACGUCCAUGUAAAACACACUACAACGUCCAUGUAAAACACACUACAGCGUCCAGGUAAAACACACUACAGCGUCCAUGUAAAACACACUACAGCGUUCAGGUAAAACACACUACAACGUCCAUGUAAAACACACUACAGCGUUCAGGUAAAACACACUACAGCGUUCAGGUAAAACACACUACAACGUCCAGGUAAAACACACUACAGCGUCCAGGUAAAACACACUACAGCGUCCAGGUAAAACACACUACAGCGUUCAGGUAAAACACACUACAGCGUUCAGGUAAAACACACUACAACGUCCAGGUAAAACACACUACAACGUCCAGGUAAAACACACUACAGCGUUCAGGUAAAACACACUACAACGUCCAGGUAAAACACACUAAAGCGUCCAUGUAAAACACACUACAACGUCCAUGUAAAACACACUACAACGUCCAUGUAAAACACACUACAGCGUCCAGGUAAAACACACUACAGCGUCCAUGUAAAACACACUACAGCGUUCAGGUAAAACACACUACAACGUCCAUGUAAAACACACUACAGCGUUCAGGUAAAACACACUACAGCGUUCAGGUAAAACACACUACAACGUCCAGGUAAAACACACUACAGCGUCCAGGUAAAACACACUACAGCGUCCAGGUAAAACACACUACAGCGUUCAGGUAAAACACACUACAGCGUUCAGGUAAAACACACUACAACGUCCAUGUAAAACACACUACAGCGUCCAGGUAAAACGCACUACAACGUCCAGGUAAAACACACUACAACGUCCAUGUGAAACACACUACAACGUCCAGGUAAAACACACUACAGCGUCCAUGUAAAACACACUACAGCGUCCAGGUAAAACACACUACAGCGUUCAGGUAAAACACACUACAACGUCCAUGUAAAACACACUACAACGUCCAUGUAAAACACACUACAACGUCCAGGUAAAACACACUACAACGUCCAUGUAAAACACACUACAGCGUCCAGGUAAAACACACUACAGCGUCCAGGUAAAACACACUACAGCGUUCAGGUAAAACACACUACAGCGUCCAGAUAAAACACACUACAGCGUCCAGAUAAAACACACUACAACGUCCAGGUAAAACACACUACAGCGUCCAGGUAAAAGGAUUAAUAUCCACGUUAUUUCUUUCAAAAACACCAAAAAUGACACUGGAGUCAGAAACUGUUCAAACAUUCAAACUGUGUGCCAUCCUGGUGUUCAGAGGCUUUUACAGUUUGAUAACACAGAUACUUUAUUUCUUUGCAUUGAAUUACAUAGGAGAUGUACUUUAUUGUAAAACUGAUCAGUGUUUGCAAUGACAGCAGUAGAAGAUGCUCUUAUUAAACACUGAACAGUAGCAGCAUCUAUGAACGUCUAAUUUCACUCAUUUGCAGCCGAGGCUUUGUCCAAACUGUGAGAGCUGUUUGUCACAUCGACAAGCAGCUUUCCUCAUCAGGCUGACAUAAGAGUCGAUCAAACAGACUUAAUGUAUGAAUGCUUCUCACAGUGAAUAACAGCUGGAUUUAACACAUUAAAUUACCUAAAAUAUCCUUAAAUCCGCCUCAUGUUACAGUCGUUUAUUUACUGUCCAUGUUGCAGAUAAACGCUGUAAAUGUGAACAAAUAAGCUCACAUUUGAUCAUUUACUUAAUGAAUGAAUGGUGAGCACUGGCCUGUGAACCCAAACAUUAUGGGAUGUUUUGUUCUUAGAGCCUCAAUAAAUGUAAUUAAUGAAGGAUGUUGGAGGGUUUUCACAACAUUGGAACCAUCUAACGUGUAGAAAUGGCUUCUGUCUGAUCCGUUAAUGAAAUAUGAACCUUGAAUUUCAGAAUCCGUCGUGUUCUUCUGCGUCUUUUAGAUGUAAACUUUUAAUUAAAGAGAUAACUGGAGGUCCUUUUAAGUGUCCCUUUCCAUUAAGACGAUUUGAGAAACUUUCCUAGACAGUGAAUGACUUGAUAUUUAUGGAAAUGAGUUGGUAUUAAGUCUGAGUGUAGAAUGAGGCUGAACUGUGACUCUUCUCUCCCAGUUAUUACUGCAGAAAGUUUAAAUCACGCUGCAGCUGCACUCUGAAGGGGGAGUCUCUAAUGUGAGUCCAUUAUCACGACGCUAUUAAGCUUUUUAUAAUCCAUUACAGCUUAAUAGGCUGCUGCUCCGUCCUUCAGCUUCAGCGUUCUCGCCAGCAGCACCACGUCCUGCACAGGAGUCAUUGAAGCUUCUCCAGGAUUCCACCUCGGACCUCCCAGCAGGAGGCAGGAGGUCAGGGAGAGAGGAGAACGUCCCACUGGACUGCUGGUGUUAUGCCGGAUGAGACAGAUUAGUCCUGCUGGAGGACGCUCUGCAGGGUUCACACUUCCUCAUUAGACAACAGAGACUUUAAGUUUCACUCAGGGAUAUAUUUUGCAAAGUCAUUUUCCACAGAAAACUUUUAGAGUUUGACCUUUGUAGGAGGCAGCAGCAGACCUCAGUGGGUUUAAUUGUGUCUGGUGGAUUUUCUCUCUCUGUAUUCAUAUUUUCUGCCAAAAGAACUCCAGUUGAAUGAGAAAUAAGCCAAAAAACGUGUUGCCUUCCUGCACGUUGCUCAGAUUUAUAGUUACCUUUCUCUCUCUGUCCUCCAAUAAUCAUUCAGGAUCGCGGCCAAAACCCAAAGCAGCGCUCGCUAAAUAUACCCUCACCAGCCAGUUUCCUGCCGCCGUUACGUAACGCCGUGCUCCUUCGUGUCGCUGUUCAUCCACCCAGAGCUGCUCCAUCUGAGGCUCACCGCUUAACGUGUUCCUGUUCUGGGUUCAGGUGCAGUCUGUCGGCCCGCACGGAGACAGCCAGCCCAGCCGAGCCGUGCACUUCAGGACGCUGGAGAGGAGCGACCACUACC